UGAUUGUCCAAACGCAAUUCUCGCUGCGCCAGUCCCCUGUGAGAAUUGUGGGUGGACAUCGGU
rnacentral:pre_miRNA from 1 species